AUUGAACGCUGGCGGCAGGCCUAACACAUGCAAGUCGAGCGGCCGUAGCAAUACGGCAGCGGCAGACGGGAGAGUAACACGUGGGAACGCGCCCUUCGGUUCGGGAUAACUCAGGGAAACUUGGGCCAAUACCGGAUACGCCCUUACGGGGAAAGAUUUAUUGCCGAAGGAACGGCCCGCGUCCGAUUAGCUUGUUGGUGAGGUAACGGCUCACCAAGGCGACGAUCGGUAGCUGGUCUGAGAGGAUGACCAGCCUCACUGGGACUGAGACACGGCCCAGACCCCUACGGGAGGCAGCAGUGGGGAAUAUUGGACAAUGGGCGCAAGCCUGAUCCAGCCAUGCCGCGUGGGUGAUGAAGGCCCUAGGGUUGUAAAGCCCUUUCAGCGGGGAAGAUAAUGACGGUACCCGCAGAAGAAGCCCCGGCUAACUUCGUGCCAGCCGCCGCGUAAUAC
rnacentral:rRNA from 1 species